GCUGGGCAUGAUGGUGUGGGCCUUUUAAUCUCUCUGCUACUGGGGAAGCUCAGGCUGGUGGAUCUCUUGAUCUUGGGAGUUCUGAACUGCAGGAGUGCUAAUGCCUAUAGGGUGUCCUCAUUAAGUCUAGCACCAAUAUGAAGAACUCCUAGGAGUGGGUGGUCACCAAGCUGCAUAAGGGUAGGGCAUGGCAAUCUAGCCCAGGUCAGAAAUGGAGCAGGUGAAAGCUUUGUUGUCAGUCAAGAGUGGAAUUGGCCGGUGAGUACUUCUUUCCUGGGUGAGACAGGGAAACCCAAUCUCAU
rnacentral:SRP_RNA from 1 species